rnacentral:sRNA from 1 species
AUCUUCCACUCGUGAAAUCCGGUUCUGCUCGCCGCCCGCAACCAUCUAAUGAUCGCUGUCUACGUUGUAUUAGCC